rnacentral:rRNA from 1 species
GACGAACGCUGGCGGCGUGCUUAACACAUGCAAGUCGAGCGGAGCGGCGAACGGGUGAGUAACGCGUGAGUAACUGCCCCCCUCUCUGGUAUCACAGUUGGAAACGGCUGCUAAUACCGGAUAGUGGGGGGUGACUGGCGUCCUAUCAGCUUGUUGGUGGGGUAGUGGCCUACCAAGGCGACGACGGGUAGCCGGCCUGAGAGGGCGACCGGCCACAGUGGGCUGAGAUACGGGCCAAAAGCCGACGGGAGGCAGCAGUGGGGAAUAUUGCACAAUGGGGGAAAGCCUGAUGCAGCAACGCCGGGUGCGGGAUGACGGACUGCGGGUUGUAAACCGCUUUCAGCCAUGACGCGGGAGUGGCAGAAGAAGCACCGGCUAACUACGUGCCAGCAGCAGCGGUAAUAC